AUUGAACGCUGGCGGCAGGCCUAACACAUGCAAGUCGAGCGGAUGAAGGGAGCUUGCUCCUGGAUUCAGCGGCGGACGGGUGAGUAAUGCCUAGGAAUCUGCCUGGUAUUGGGGGAUAACGUCCGGAAACGGGCGCUAAUACCGCAUACGUCCUGAGGGAGAAAGUGGGGGAUCUUCGGACCUCACGCUAUCAGAUGAGCCUAGGUCGGAUUAGCUAGUUGGUGGGGUAAAGGCCUACCAAGGCGACGAUCCGUAACUGGUCUGAGAGGAUGAUCAGUCACACUGGAACUGAGACACGGUCCAGACUCCUACGGGAGGCAGCAGUGGGGAAUAUUGGACAAUGGGCGAAAGCCUGAUCCAGCCAUGCCGCGUGUGUGAAGAAGGUCUUCGGAUUGUAAAGAACUUUAAGUUGGGAGGAAGGGCAGUAAGUUAAUACCUUGCUGUUUUGACGUUACCAACAGAAUAAGCACCGGCUAACUUCGUG
rnacentral:rRNA from 1 species